rnacentral:rRNA from 1 species
GAUGAACGCUGGCGGCGUGCUUAACACAUGCAAGUCGAACGAAGCAGUCGCGACAGAUUUGUUCGGAAUGAAGGUGCUCAUGACUGAGUGGCGGACGGGUGAGUAACGCGUGGGUAACCUGCCUUGUAGUGGGGGAUAGCAGCUGGAGACGGCUGGUAAUACCGCAUAAGGGCACAAGGUUGCAUGACACGGUGGGAAAACCACCGGUGGGAUAGGAUGGACGCGCUUCGGCUUAGCCAGUUGGUGGGAUAAAAGCCUACCAAGGCGACGAUCGGUAGCCGAGCGGGGAGGCGGACCCGCCACGUUGGAGCUACGGCCCAGCCCCGACUGCUACGCAAGGCAGCAGAGGGUAAUAUUGCACGAUGGAGCAAACUCUGAUGCAGCCGCGCCGCGUAAGUGAAGAAGUAGUUCGUUAUGUGCUGCUCUAUCAGCAGAGGAGAUAGUGACGGUACCUGACUAAGAAGCACCGGCUAACUACGUG